rnacentral:rRNA from 1 species
ACGGGUGAGUAACGCGUGGGUAACCUGCCUUAUACAGGGGGAUAACAGUCAGAAAUGGCUGCUAAUACCGCAUAAGCGCACAGAGCUGCAUGGCUCAGUGUGAAAAACUCCGGUGGUAUAAGAUGGACCCGCGUUGGAUUAGCUAGUAGGUGAGGUAACGGCCCACCUAGGCGAUGAUACGUAGCCGACCUGAGAGGGUGACCGGCCACAUUGGGACUGAGACACGGCCCAAACUCCUACGGGAGGCAGCAUG